UUGUAAAAGGGAUGGAAGUGGCAUCCUUUUGUUGCUUUGGCAAAUGGCAAAAAAAGAUAUAACGGACAGCCCGGCCUGAA
rnacentral:sRNA from 1 species